GACGAACGCUGGCGGCGUGCUUAACACAUGCAAGUCGAACGGAAAGGCCCUGCUUUUGUGGGGUGCUCGAGUGGCGAACGGGUGAGUAACACGUGAGUAACCUGCCCUUGACUUUGGGAUAACUUCAGGAAACUGGGGCUAAUACCGGAUAGGGGCUCCUGCUGCAUGGUGGGGGUUGGAAAGUUUCGGCGGUUGGGGAUGGACUCGCGGCUUAUCAGCUUGUUGGUGGGGUAGUGGCUUACCAAGGCUUUGACGGGUAGCCGGCCUGAGAGGGUGACCGGCCACAUUGGGACUGAGAUACGGCCCAGACUCCUACGGGAGGCAGCAGUGGGGAAUAUUGCACAAUGGGCGGAAGCCCGAUGCAGCAACGCCGCGUGCGGGAUGACGGCCUUCGGGUUGUAAACCGCUUUCGCCUGUGACGAAGCGUGAGUGACGGUAAUGGGUAAAGAAGCACCGGCUAACUACGUG
rnacentral:rRNA from 1 species